rnacentral:tmRNA from 2 species
AGAUCUAAUUCAGGUUAGCCAUUCGUUAGCGUGUCGGUUCGCAGGCGGUGGUGAAAUUAAAGAUCGACUAAGCAUGUAGUACCAAAGAUGAAUGGUUUUCGGACGGGGGUUCAACUCCCCCCAGCUCCACCA